rnacentral:siRNA from 1 species
UGAUGAGCUUUCAGAUAAAUCA